rnacentral:rRNA from 1 species
UACGUAGGGUGCGAGCGUUAAUCGGAAUUACUGGGCGUAAAGCGUGCGCAGGCGGUUUUGUAAGCCAGAUGUGAAAGCCCCGGGCUUAACCUGGGAAUGGCAUUUGGGACUGCAAGGCUUGAGUGCGGCAGAGGAGACUGGAAUUCCUGGUGUAGCAGUGAAAUGCGUAGAUAUCAGGAAGAACACCCGUGGCUAAGGCGGCUCUCUAGUACGGUACUGACGCUGAGACGCGAAAGCGUGGGGGGCGAACAGG